CCGUCUGUGACGACUGAAAGUUAUCCCUGUCUGAAUUAUUGUGAGGAAAAAAGACUAUGGUAACAUUCCGAGACUA
rnacentral:snoRNA from 1 species